CAGGAGUGGGGCUGUCAGAGUCACUGAAAGUGAAGCACAAUUCAACAUAAAUAAGCAGCCUUGAGAACCAUCAGCAGAAUAUUAAAUCAAAAUACUGAUUUAUUCUGUAUUAACUGCCCUGUGGUUUCAGCUCCAGCCAAGAAAGGCCUCUGAACUCUCUGUGUGCAGAGAUUUUGCCUUUGGUGGGUAUUAUAAUAAUGGAAUCAUGGAAUGAUUUGGGUUGAAAAGGACCUAAAAGCCCAUCUCAUUCUACACCUGCCAUGGGCAGGACACCCUUCACUGUCCCGGGCAGGACAAGCUGGCCUCGGGCACCUCCCGGGCUGGGGCAGCCUGUGCCAGCCUGCCAGCACUGUCCCAGGGAGGAAUUUCUUCCUCACUUCUUCCAGUGUAAAACUAUUGUCUUGUCCUAUCGCUAUCUGCCUGUGUAAAAAGUCACUCUCCAUCCUUUCACCAGCCGCCUUUAGGCCCUGAAGGGGCUGUGGGCUUUCCCUGGAGCUUUCUCUUCUCCCGGUGAAGGCCCCCAGCGCUCCCAGCCCGGCUGCAGAGCGGGGAGCUCCAGUCCCCGGAGCAUCUCCGGGACUCCCUUCGCACCAGCAGCUCCAAAACCAACCCCCACCGGCUCGGGCCGUUCCCGAGCGGCACGGGAGCUGUUCUCUGCCGGUCCCGAGCCCCACAGCGCCGGGCUCCGCUGCCGGCACUUCUCCUCCCGUUCCCCAGCUCCGCUCCCGGCGCUUCCCGGAGGAUCCCGGGCGCCGCUGCAGUCCCGGCUCCCGCCGCACGAGGGCGCUGUCCCCGGCGGGCCGUGCCCUGCUCGGCGCUCCGGCCCGCGGCUGCUCUCGGUGCUUUCCCGGGCCCGCUCCCGGUCCCCGCUUCCGCUCCCCGCUUCUGGCCGCGUGGCGCUGAGAGAGGCUCGGGGACAUGGCGGGCACGGGGAUUUCCUGCGGGGGCUCAGCCCCAGAGAAGCCACAGCUCCAGAUGGUGACAUGGAUGAGACUCGGUGCUUCCAUUCCUGAGGUGAGGGCGCACCAGCACAACAGCUCUGAAGAUGAGACUUGAUGGACAAAGGGAAGACAGGAUCGCUUCACUUUUCUCCACUGCCUGGGAUGCAAACAAAAGAAACAAGAGCAAGUUCCUGCCUGUUGAAAUUCCAGGAGCUUGAGCUGCAUUCCAGCACGGCUGAGAGGCAUUUUGAAUCUAUUCUCAUAUGCAUCAGCCCUGCACUGCUCCCAAGCAAAUGCACUCUCAGUUAGUUGUUAUUAUUAAUAGUAAAGGAUUGAAUAUCAAUAGUUCUCAUUAAUUUCCAUGGCAAUAUUGUCUGAAUCAAGAGUUGCUUCGAGUUGUGUAACUGAAGUUCAUAGUGUGAAGGAAUGCAAUCCAGGGGAAGUGCUCAGAUGGAGGGAAGUGACCGACCUUGCAUAACCUCCCUAAGGCCAAACUUCCCUUCAUAUCUAGCAGGCUGUGUUCCUAAUUUUCCAAAAAUAUGGAACGGUUUGCACUUUCAGCCUGUGUCCUCUGGGCUUCAGUCUCCAGCAUGCCUCACAGCUUUCCUGAAACAUUUCACCCACACAUUUAUUCAUUAUAUUCCUCCUAACGAUGCAUGGCUGGAGCUUCCAUAAGAGAAGAUAUAACAGGAAAAUAAAUAACAGUAGAAAAAUUUAAACCCA
ensembl:lncRNA